UCCUGAGUGCAGGAAAUAGCUCAUGUUAAAUACGUUCACUUUUCAGUUUUUCUUUCUUCUAAAAUGGAGUUUGACAGAUUGGGCUUUUCAGCUCCCCCUUUUUUUCACCACCUCUGCUUUCUACCUCAGAAAUACUCUUCAGGAAGCAGGAGUUAAUCUUGGUGAGGAAACGAUAAGGCUCAACUCUGCCUCCUGUGCCUGCGUGUAGCAGUGCCUUUCUCUUUGAAUAGCCCAAUUCAUUUCAAUGAGGCUACUCACAGAGGAGAGCACUGCUCAGCAUGAGUAAGGGUGGAAGAAUUGGGCCAUGACCCUGCAGAUUUCUCCAUGCGGGUGGAUUCCUCACCCAUGUUUAGUGCUCUGGUGACUUCAUUGGGUCGCUGUGCUGAACAGCUUGCAGGAUAAGGCCUAAUACUGUGUUCAUCAAGAGUGUCAGGCACUUAGUGGACAGUUCAUACUUCUCUGACAAACUACAAUUUGGUGGGAAACUUCACAAGAACCCACGGUAUCAGUAAGCCCUCAUCUGUAAAUUCAUGGAGUGCCCUGCAUUUGAUUAACUUCUGCUGUCCUUCACAUCCUCUACACAAAAGAUUCUCAUUUAAUGAAAGCCAUGUCGCUAGUUCCUUUAGUGCGAUCCAGAGUUGCUCCUGGGUCACCUAGAACUGUAGCUUUUGCUGAUGUGAAGACUUCCUGCUCACGGAUAGCACGACAUGAGGCCCUAUUUGCUCCAGAGCCUGAUUGGCAUGGAUCUCCCGGCACACAGAAAGGAGAUGAAGAGCACGCUCAGAAAACAUGGGCAGGACACACAUACAGCAGUAAAUUCAGAUCCACCUGAAUGGGCUUUGAGCAGGAGUUUGGCAUUCUCAACCUGGGAUUCAGGUGUUGGCCUGAGAUUGGUGGCAUGUUACCGUACACCUCUGACAAGGUUAGCAGGAUGUUCCAGGUAUGUUUGUGCUACACAGCAUUGCCAUGAUCCUUGCCUGAGGGGGAAGACAUACAUGAAAUAAGGAGCCCUGAAAAGAAGAGGACAUAGGAGCUGUGAGGCUCAGGAGGACAUAAGCAUGCUGGACCAGGAAGAUGAUGAGGGAGCAAGGACACCAGCUAGUGUUCCCUGAGGCCCCUGAUUCUCAGAAACAGUUUGAUAGUCAAGUUUUUCCUUAGUUUGACAACAAACUUUUACGCUUACAGAAGUGAGAUUUUAGAAGGGCCUUCUUCUGACACCCAACACUAUGCAGGACACAGGCCUGCAGGUCAACAUCCCAAGAAGAUGUCGAUGCAACUAAGAAGGAAGAUCAAGAACCUGGAAGAUAGGGAGAGACAGGUUCUCUGGAAGGGAAAGCUGGAAAUGAAGCAGAUUAAGAGCUUCACCUGUCACAGAAGAAUUACACUUGCAAUAAGGCAGAUGUCAAAAAGACACUAUUAGCUUGGAAGACUUCAAAACAGGUGUUGGGAAGAAGGAGAGAAUCUCAUUCAUAAUCUAAACUGAAAAUAUUCAACAUAAACAGCAACUUACUUGCAUCAAGACUAUAUCAAAGCUUGACAAAUUCACCUGUCUGGUGCCUCAUGCAACUGAUUUAUCUGCCUGGACAGGUGGAAAACUGCCUAGACUUAUCCGUGAGUAAAGUGGAGUUGUUAGUACAGUGCCAUUGAGGAACUGCUUUCUCUCACUACAACAGUUGGAACAAGAUCGCUGAAACUGCAACUUUUUCUGAGCAGGGCCUUGAAUCUACAGAGAGUGCUCCACUGAUUCCAAGCCCAGGGAUCUACCCGUGCUAAAUAAGUUGCAGGAUUGGGACCUAAAGUCUGUUUAACAAUGAAAGCCUCCAGUACCUACAUAGGAGUCUUUUUCAAGAGCAUUUAAAAAGAAAUCAAAGUGAAAUAUGGCAUUAUCUACUUGGACGUAGAGAAGAGCCCAAAAGACACUGAUCAUAUCUCAGCAUAUGACUUUAAAAAUGCUCACGUUCUACCCAUGCAGUCAAGUGCGAGUAAGAUUUUCUUCAAAGUUGGUCAAUAGCAGAUGCAAAUAAUUUAAAAAUGAGACCGUCCUGUUAAUACUAUGAGUCAAAGCAGGAAGAAUUGGAAAAACCCAGUUUAUGCUUUCUAAAUCACUUACCCAUGUUUUACCAGCCUUUAUCAGAGUUUGUACACUUGCUCCAAUUAAAUUAUUUUUCUUCAGGGAAGCUUGCGAGGCACUUAUAUAAAUUCUCUUAAUUUCUAAGUAAUGCAGUCCUGACAAUCACUUAAGACAAGAUAGUUGAUACUGCUGUCAGGAAAGACUCUUUUUCAAAAGAAUGUUUUUAUAGAAUAUCAUUGUGACACUUUGCUCAGAUGGAUGUCUUUAGCAGAAUUUGAUUAAUGUAAUGUAAUAAAAGAGAUGCACACUAAA